rnacentral:rRNA from 1 species
AUUGAACGCUGGCGGCAGGCCUAACACAUGCAAGUCGAACGAGUUGCGGACGGGUGAGUAAUGUCGGGGAAACUGCCUGAUGGAGGGUGAUUACUACUGGAAACUGUAGCUAAUACCGCAUACCAUCGGAUGUGCCCAGAUGGGAUUUGCUAGUAGGUGGGGUAAAGUGUCACCGAGGCGACGAUCCCUAGCUGGUCUGAGAGGAUGACCAACCACGAUGGAACUGAGGAACGGCCCAAACGCGUCCGGGAGGCAGCAGAGGUGAAUAUUGGACAAAGGACGGGAGACUGAUGCAGCAAUGCCGCGUGUAUGAAGAAGGCAUGCGGGUUGUAGAAUAAUGUCAGCCGGGAGGCGUUACCCGCAGAAGAAGCACCGGCUAACUCCGUGCCAGCAGCCGCGGUAAUAC